GAUGAAGAACGCAGCGAAAUGCGAUACUUGGUGUGAAUUGCAGAAUCCCGUGAACCAUCGAGUCUUUGAACGCAAGUUGCGCCCGAAGCCAUUAGGCCGAGGGCACGCCUGCCUGGGCGUCACACGUCGUUGCCCCCCCAUCUACUCCUUCGGGAUUGCGGGGGGCGGAUGAUGGCCUCCCGUGCGCCUCGUCGCGCGGUUGGCAUAAAUGCCAAGUCCUCGGCGACGCACGCCACGACAAUCGGUGGUUGCGAAACCUCGGUUGCCCGUCGUGUGCGGUCGUCGCGCAUCGAGGGCUCGAAAAAAUUGCCGGGCUCCGGCUCGGCUUUCAACGCGACCCCAGGUCAGGCGGGGUUACCCGCUGAAUUUAAGCAUAUCAAUAAGAGGAGGA
rnacentral:misc_RNA from 1 species